rnacentral:rRNA from 1 species
AUGGGCGCAAGCCUGAUGCAGCGACGCCGCGUGAGGGAUGACGGCCUUCGGGUUGUAAACCUCUUUCAGUAGGGAAGAAGCCGCAAGGUGACGGUACCUGCAGAAGAAGCGCCGGCUAACUACGUGCCAGCAGCCGCGGUAAUACGUAGGGCGCAAGCGUUAUCCGGAAUUAUUGGGCGUAAAGAGCUCGUAGGCGGUUUGUCGCGUCUGCCGUGAAAGUCCGGGGCUCAACUCCGGAUCUGCGGUGGGUACGGGCAGACUAGAGUGAUGUAGGGGAGACUGGAAUUCCUGGUGUAGCGGUGAAAUGCGCAGAUAUCAGGAGGAACACCGAUGGCGAAGGCAGGUCUCUGGGCAUUAACUGACGCUGAGGAGCGAAAGCAUGGGGAGCGAACAGGAUUAGAUACCCUGGUAGUCCAUGCCGUAAACGUUGGGCACUAGGUGUGGGGGACAUUCCACGUUUUCCGCGCCGUAGCUAACGCAUUAAGUGCCCCGCCUGGGGAGUACGGCCGCAAGGCUAAAACUCAAAGGAAUUGACGGGGGCCCGCACAAGCGGCGGAGCAUGCGGAUUAAUUCGAUGCAACGCGAAGAACCUUACCAAGGCUUGACAUGAACCGGACCGCUGCAGAAAUGUGGUUUCCCCUUUGGGGCUGGUUUACAGGUGGUGCAUGGUUGUCGUCAGCUCGUGUCGUGAGAUGUUGGGUUAAGUCCCGCAACGAGCGCAACCCUCGUUCUAUGUUGCCAGCACGUGAUGGUGGGGACUCAUAGGAGACUGCCGGGGUCAACUCGGAGGAAGGUGGGGACGACGUCAAAUCAUCAUGCCCCUUAUGUCUUGGGCUUCACGCAUGCUACAAUGGCCGGUACAAAGGGUUGCGAUACUGUGAGGUGGAGCUAAUCCCAAAAAGCCGGUCUCAGUUCGGAUUGGGGUCUGCAACUCGACCCCAUGAAGUCGGAGUCGCUAGUAAUCGCAGAUCAGCAACGCUGCGGUGAAUACGUUCCCGGGCCUUGUACACACCGCCCGUCAAGUCACGAAAGUUGGUAACACCCGAAG